GCCUCACUUUGAGCACCAAGACGUUAGACACGAUGACACUGCGGAUUUUAAUAAGUCAGCUUGGAUUCUCAGUGGAAUAGUGGGACCUGAUGGUGCCUUUGGAAAGCAGUUUCAGAGGUAGCUGCUACCGGGGAGAGGAUGAACAUUGCAAAGUGCAUUCUCAUCUCGGGACAAGGCGGCGGAGUACGGGACCUUGAGCUCACCUCCUCUUAACCUGCGUUCUGCCACUGCUGAACCCAAGUGUGACGUCCUCCCUCCAUCCCCCGGUUCAUGGAGGUGGAGGCAGGUCCAGCUGGCAGGCCAGGUCUCCCAGGACGGACAUGGACUGGUUGGCGUGAGGCUCCAGGUUACUUCUUGAUUAAGAACGUCUAACCAUGAUCCUGGGCAGUCAUCAUCUAGUGUAUUGAGAGGUGACAAGUCUCAUCCAGCUGCAGACAUCCUGAGCUCUCUGGGGAAAUGAAGCAAAGGGCAUUGCAGAAAGAAGGAAUGCAGAAUAUUCCAUUUCCUGUUGGCUCACUACCAGGAUUCUGCAUCCUGUUCCAUUUUCAUUAAGGUUUGUUGCACAUGACCCAGUGCUUAAUUUUGUGAUGGGUGGGUGUGAAACCCAAAGUAUUUGAGGGGGAUUAGAUAUUGUUGACACUGCAUUGGGCGGGAGGCUACCAAAUGCUUUCCUCCAUUCCUGUAGCUCAGUUGUUUCCCCAGGGAAAAGAGCAUCGCACGCUCUGGCCCGGAGUCCCAGCUCUGGGCAGACUCUCUGUAAGCGUUUCUCUUUACAGACUGAUCUAUGAUCCAUGACACCCUGUCUGCAGGACAGGCACAACACAGUGGUGAUACGGGACAAGAUCCGAACUUGCCCUAGGUAGAAUUACAAUUCUCCUUCCAGCCUUCCUAGCUAACCCUCGGAUCAGAACACACUCGGAACUCUGAGAGAAAUAGGUAUAGCAAGAAACACAGUGGACCUGUUGGUUUCCAUGUCUGGAUCCAUAUGUAUGUCUAUGGAUGGAACAUUCUGGAAAAGUGACUCAACAUUUUUAUUGUCAAUUAUUAGAAGUCUAUUAUUUAACUAAAAAAAAAAAGUGCACACUUAAAACUCCUAG
rnacentral:lncRNA from 1 species